rnacentral:piRNA from 1 species
UGAGAAUGUGUAGCACCAAACAUUAGUCUGC